AGAUAUGGGAUGCCUACAACGUGAAGGCCCAGACUUUUAAAACGGCCAUAGAAGCUGCUUGCCUACUUCUCAGAAUCGAUGACAUUGUGAGUGGGAUCAAGAAGAAGCAGCCUCCUGGUGCCAAAGCUGCUUCGAAGCCUCAAGUUGAGACAGAAGGCGAUGCAGAUAAUGAGCAAAUAAUUCCCGAGUGAUUAUCGAGAGCACGUGGUUUUCUCAGUUUAAAUGAAGUUUUGCUUUAAAGAAGAAAAAAAGGAGCAUUAUAAGUUUGAUGAGGAUAUUUUGUAGGUUUAUAAUGUCACAUUAACUUGGUAGUGUGUGUUUUGUCCCUCUUCUUUCUUUCUCAAUCCACGAGGGGUGGGAAAGAAGAGAA
rnacentral:lncRNA from 1 species